rnacentral:rRNA from 1 species
GAGCGAACGGACGAGAAGCUUGCUUCUCUGAUGUUAGCGGCGGACGGGUGAGUAACACGUGGAUAACCUACCUAUAAGACUGGGAUAACUUCGGGAAACCGGAGCUAAUACCGGAUAAUAUUUUGAACCGCAUGGUUCAAAAGUGAAAGACGGUCUUGCUGUCACUUAUAGAUGGAUCCGCGCUGCAUUAGCUAGUUGGUAAGGUAACGGCUUACCAAGGCAACGAUGCAUAGCCGACCUGAGAGGGUGAUCGGCCACACUGGAACUGAGACACGGUCCAGACUCCUACGGGAGGCAGCAGUAGGGAAUCUUCCGCAAUGGGCGAAAGCCUGACGGAGCAACGCCGCGUGAGUGAUGAAGGUCUUCGGAUCGUAAAACUCUGUUAUUAGGGAAGAACAUAUGUGUAAGUAACUGUGCACAUCUUGACGGUACCUAAUCAGAAAGCCACGGCUAACUACGUGCCAGCAGCCGCGGUAAUACGUAGGUGGCAAGCGUUAUCCGGAAUUAUUGGGCGUAAAGCGCGCGUAGGCGGUUUUUUAAGUCUGAUGUGAAAGCCCACGGCUCAACCGUGGAGGGUCAUUGGAAACUGGAAAACUUGAGUGCAGAAGAGGAAAGUGGAAUUCCAUGUGUAGCGGUGAAAUGCGCAGAGAUAUGGAGGAACACCAGUGGCGAAGGCGACUUUCUGGUCUGUAACUGACGCUGAUGUGCGAAAGCGUGGGGAUCAAACAGGAUUAGAUACCCUGGUAGUCCACGCCGUAAACGAUGAGUGCUAAGUGUUAAGGGGUUUCCGCCCCUUAGU